rnacentral:rRNA from 1 species
UACGAAGGGGGCUAGCGUUGUUCGGAUUAACUGGGCGUAAAGGGUGCGUAGGCGGGUUUUAAGUCAGGGGUGAAAUCCCGAGGCUCAACCUCGGAACUGCCUUUGAUACUGGAAAUCUUGAGUCUGGGAGAGGUGAGUGGAACUGCGAGUGUAGAGGUGAAAUUCGAUAGAUAUUCGCAAGAACACCGGUGGCGAAGGCGGCUCACUGGCCCGGAACUGACGCUGAGGCACGAAAGCGUGGGGAGCAAACAGGG